AUGGGGGGCGCGGCGUCGAGGCUCGCCGCCCCGAUAAAGCACCGGCGGGUGGAGAGGGAGCUGGACAACAAGGUGGCGGAGGCGCUGCGGGAGCGGGCCAAGGCGAGGAAGAAGACGUUCCGGUCGGUGAACAGCAUCACCAUGCGCCUCCCUCGCUUCAAGGACGGCCUCAAGGACAUCCGGGACGUCUUCGACCUCUACGACACGGACUCCAACGGGACGAUCGACAACGAGGAGCUGCGGAGCUGCCUGAGCAAGCUCGAGGUGCGGAUGUCGGAGAAGGAAGCCGACGACGUGCACCGCUACUGCGACGUCGACAGCCGCAAGGGGAUCCAGUUCCAGGAGUUCGUCGUCCUCAUCUGCCUCAUGUACCUGCUCUUCGGCCCAAACGUCACGCGCCGGGUUUCCGAGUUCGAGUCGGACAAGCUCAACUACAUCUUCGACGAGCUCAUCGACGCCUUCCUCUUCUUCAACAGGGACGGCGACGGCAAGGUGACCAGGAAAGACGUCACCCAGAGGAUGAACGAGGAGUCUGACCGGGAGAGGACGCCCACCCACAUCACCACACAGCUCUUCAAGGAGAUGGACCUGAACAAGAACGGCAAGGUGAACCUCAAGGAGUUCCUCUUCUCCAUGAUCAGAUGGGCAGGGCUCGAGCCCGAGGAAGGAGAUGAAAGCAACGACACUUCUCUGUAG
rnacentral:rRNA from 1 species